rnacentral:rRNA from 1 species
CAUACGCGUUCAGAGUUUGAUCCUGGCUCAGGAUGAACGCUAGCGGCAGGCUUAACACAUGCAAGUCGAGGGGCAGCAUAAUGAAGUAGCAAUACGGAAUUGAUGGCGACCGGCGCACGGGUGCGUAACGCGUAUGCAACCUACCCAUAACAGGGGGAUAACACUGAGAAAUUGGUACUAAUACCCCAUAAUACUUUGGAAGGCAUCUUUUGAAGUUGAAAGUUCAGGCGGUUAUGGAUGGGCAUGCGUUGUAUUAGCUAGAUGGUGAGGUAACGGCUCACCAUGGCAACGAUACAUAGGGGGACUGAGAGGUUAACCCCCACACUGGUACUGAGACACGGACCAG